rnacentral:rRNA from 1 species
UACGAAGGGGGCUAGCGUUGCUCGGAAUCACUGGGCGUAAAGGGUGCGUAGGCGGGUCUUUAAGUCAGGGGUGAAAUCCUGGAGCUCAACUCCAGAACUGCCUUUGAUACUGAGGAUCUUGAGUUCGGGAGAGGUGAGUGGAACUGCGAGUGUAGAGGUGAAAUUCGUAGAUAUUCGCAAGAACACCAGUGGCGAAGGCGGCUCCCUGGCCCGAUACUGACGCUGAGGCACGAAAGCGUGGGGAGCAAACAGG